rnacentral:rRNA from 1 species
UACGUAGGGUGCAAGCGUUGUCCGGAAUUAUUGGGCGUAAAGAGCUCGUAGGCGGUUUGUUGCGUCGGCUGUGAAAUCCCGAGGCUCAACCUCGGGUCUGCAGUCGAUACGAGCAAACUAGAGUGUUGCAGGGGAGACUGGAAUUCCUGGUGUAGCGGUGAAAUGCGCAGAUAUCAGGAGGAACACCGGUGGCGAAGGCGGAUCUCUGGGACGGUACUGACGCUGAGACGCGAAAGCGUGGGGAGCGAACAGG